rnacentral:rRNA from 9 species
CUUGAGAGUUUGAUCCUGGCUCAGAACGAACGCUGGCGGCAGGCUUAACACAUGCAAGUCGAACGGUAACAUGAUCAGCUUGCUGAUUGAUGACGAGUGGCGCACGGGUGCGUAACGCGUAUGCAACCUGCCUCUAACUGGGAGAUAGCCCGAAGAAAUUCGGAUUAAUACCCCAUAAUAUAUGUCUUUCGCAUGUUAGACAUAUUAAAGCUUUGGCGGUUAGAGAUGGGCAUGCGUGACAUUAGCUUGUUGGUGAGGUAAUAGCUCACCAAGGCUGCGAUGUCUAGGGGGCCUGAGAGGGUUAUCCCCCACACUGGUACUGAGACACGGACCAGACUCCUACGGGAGGCAGCAG